ACCCUCUCAGGAUCGUACCUGGAGAGUUUCCAGUACUCUACCAGUCUCGAUUACGGGAGGGAGAGUCAAGCAGAGACAUACCCAUUCCAUUCUUAGCCUGGCCAGUGGCUAGUGAUCGGAAGGCAGUCUGCAGCAAGU